rnacentral:rRNA from 1 species
GUGAGGAAUAUUGGUCAAUGGGCGAGAGCCUGAACCAGCCAAGUCGCGUGAAGGAAGAAGGAUCUAUGGUUCGUAAACUUCUUUUGCAGGGGAAUAAAGUGCGGGACGUGUCCUGUUUUGUAUGUACCCUGAGAAUAAGGAUCGGCUAACUCCGUGCCAGCAGCCGCGGUAAUACGGAGGAUCCGAGCGUUAUCCGGAGUUAUUGGGUUUAAAGGGUGCGUAGGUGGUUUGAUAAGUCAGCGGUGAAAGUUUGCAGCUUAACUGUAAAAAUGCCGUUGAAACUGUCGGACUUGAGUGUAAAUGAGGUAGGCGGAAUGCGUGGUGUAGCGGUGAAAUGCAUAGAUAUCACGCAGAACUCCGAUUGCGAAGGCAGCUUACUAAGCUACAACUGACACUGAAGCACGAAAGCGUGGGGAUCAAACAGGAUUAGAAACCCUGGUAGUCC